AAUUAACGCUGGCGGCGUGCCUAACACAUGCAAGUCGAGCGAGAAAGUCCCUUCGGGGAUGUGUACAGCGGCGGACGGGUGAGUAACGCGUGAGAAUCUGCCCUUUAGUGGAGAAUACCCUCGAGAAAUCGAGGCUAAUACUGCAUACGUCCCUUCGGGGAGAAAGAUGGCCUCUUUGCUAUCGCUAAAGGAUGAGCUUGCGUACUAUUAGCUAGUUGGUGAGGUAAUGGCUCACCAAGGCGAUGAUGGUUAGCCGGCCUGAGAGGGUGUACGGCCACACUGGAACUUAGACACGGUCCAGACUCCUACGGGAGGCAGCAGUGAGGAAUCUUGCACAAUGGGCGAAAGCCUGAUGCAGCGACGCCGCGUGGAGGAUGAAGGCCUUCGGGUUGUAAACUUCUGUUAAGCGGGAAGAAAUGACUUGUUCUAAUACAGCAGGUCGAUGACGGUACCGCUAGAGAAAGCACCGGCUAAACUCGUGCCAGCAGCCGCCGCAG
rnacentral:rRNA from 1 species